rnacentral:rRNA from 1 species
AUGCCUCGAGGCGCCAUUGACCCAACCUCCGGCGUGCCACCAGACUUCCUUCCGCCGCCGCCCCUUGCUCCGGUGCGCCUCCCACCUGUACCAACCGGCGUCAGAGCCGUCCCUCGCCCUGGAUCGCACCGCCGCCACUGUCCCACGAUGGGGAUCGUGCCGCACGCAUCGUCCCACGAUGGGGAUCGCGCCGCAGGCACCGGGAUCGCGCCACUGCAACCGCCACCGCCCCACCUCCCAUCGUCGGGAUCCUGCUGCCGCGCGACAACCACCGGGAUCCUCCCACCGUGCGUCCUUCCUCCACCUGCUGCCGUGAACUUCUUCCACCCGCCACCGUGA